GGACUAUCCUCCACAGGCGCCUGUGUCUGGAUACCUGGUCACCAGAUGGUGAUGCUGUUCUCAGAGGCAGUGGAAACUUUAGGAGGCAAGGCCGUGCUGGAGGAAGUGAGUCACUGUGGAUAAGCUAUGAAAUUUGAGUCUGCUCCUACUUUCUGCUUAAAAUCUGCUUCCUGACUAUGGCUGCAAUGUGCCUGGCUGCCUCAUGCUUCUGAGGCUGUGCUUCCUCCUCUGCUGUGAUCAGAUGCAGCCCCUUAAACGGAUUCCCUAAGAAGCAAUUGAAAUUGGACCAGUGACUCCACUUGGCCUUAUUCAAAAGACUGAGAAGGAAAAGGCUGGCAAGCAAGAAUAUUAAGUCAAUUAAUAAUUCUUCAGUGGUUUCUACAAAUCCAAGAGAAAGCAAUAAAUAUGUAUGUCUCACUUU
rnacentral:lncRNA from 1 species